rnacentral:rRNA from 1 species
GACGUAGGGCGCGAGCGUUGUCCGGAUUUAUUGGGCGUAAAGAGCUCGUAGGCGGCUUGUCGCGUCGACUGUGAAAACCCGCGGCUCAACUGCGGGCCUGCAGCCGAUACGGGCAGGCUAGAGUUCGGUAGGGGAGACUGGAAUUCCUGGUGUAGCGGUGAAAUGCGUAGAUAUCGAGAGGAACACCUGCGGCGAAGGCGGGUUGCUGGGCUGACACUGACGCUGAUGCGCGAAAGCUAGGGGAGCGAACGGG